CUCCUGGUCCACCAGUUGCGGUCUUCACCGACUUGGAUGUGGAAGCGUUGGCAGCAUUCUUGGUCUCCUUGUCUUUCUCUUCCCCACGUGGAGCUUUGACCUCAGGAUUGGUGGUAGUUUUUGUUGCUUUUUCCACAGAAUCCUUCUUCUUAGGAGAAGCCACUCUGGACACCUUAUCUGAAGAUUCCUUCAAGGCCCCUGGCUUUGGUGAAGCUGCAGAGGGCUUGGACUUCCCAUCACCCUUCUUGACAGGUUACAUCAUCUAUUUUCUGGUGUGCUGAUGGCUUCCACAUUAGUAUCUCCAGCCCACUCUUAGCUCCCCGUGCUCUGGACUCCUCCAUCUGUUUGAUAACACCAAGGCACUGAGACGUGGCCUAGACUGAGCUCCUGCAUUUCCCCCACCCUGUGCCUCCUGCCUGCAAUGGAACAGGUUUGAAGGACAGUGACCAGAGAAUGUAAAGAACUUUUAACAUCUUGUUUUAUGAAGAACAGUGGGUAGAACUGAAAAGGUUUAAUCUGGAGGGGGAAAAAAAGCUGGCAGGCUCGGUGAAGAGUGUCUAAGACACUGUCAGAUGGAAAAGUGAUCACGUUCGUUUCUGGAAGAUACGAUGAGACAAGUAAGGAAAAACUUUCUAACAGAGAGACUAAAAAACGUCCCCAGGAGAUGGUGAUUUCACCAUCCUCAGAUUUCGGGGAGGGAUGGAUUUGCCAGAUGACUGUUCUAGCAAAGGGUCUGGUUUUGAAUUUGACCUCCAAUGACUAAGACUCCCCAAACCUGAAGCUUAAAAUGCACUGAUAAUUCUACUUUUCGGUCCAUUUACUUUUAGCUGUUCUUGUUUAAAAAUGUGUCAUUUUUGUUUUUUCCCAAAUUGUGUUUCUAGUUUCUCUGGAUUGACUAGCAUGUAUCAAGGACUAAAUAAGAGGAACAAAAGGAGACACCAAACGGCCUUUAAGAUCCAUCCCUUAGUUACCCUUCCAAAGCAACAAUAGGCAAUUACAGCUCUAAAGGCCUGGUAACUACUGGCCUAGUCCAGGGAUUUCCAAUCCACUUUGGCUGUGGCAUCCUUUCAUCAAAGUCCACAAUGUCAAAAAGCUAAAGGCCUAGGUGCUCUGGUUGAGACAAGAGGAAUAGAGUGAAUUCUACCCAAUGUCUUCCCCUUCUCUUCUCUUCUCCCACCAGCCCUGACACCGCUGACCUAGUCUGUAAGGGAAAACUCUAGAGAGCCUUCAGCAGGUGUUGUGCAUUACUCUCUCCAAAGCAUCUGGGUAGGGGUUACAGGGCUGGCAGAGGAGAACAGGACAGAGCCUCUGGCUUUAUGACAUCUGCCUGGUGUAAUGAAAACACAUGCCCUUCCAAACCUGCCCCAGUGAUUAGAACACUGGAGAAUCUGCCCUUGGGUGGAACACCUAUUUUCUAGUUAAGGCAAUUGCUUUUUCUUCUGUAAUUAGUGGUAAAUGCUAAUACACGCAGUCCACUGUGCUAAAAUUCUGCUUUCAUGGACUAGUAAAAAUGACUUAAGCGGCAAUAUUCACAACACUAUGCCUUAUUAAAAGAUAGAUAUUAUUUGGGGUCCUGAUGGGUGGAUUGUGAUAACCUCUGUAUUUAAAAUUCUGGCAAUGACAAACCCUUUCCUUUAUGUAUGUCCUCUGCUCUAUUUUACUGCAAACAAACUAGUGACAUGGGGGUAAAAACCAACCACUAGGAACUAACUGUGGAAGUACACAGGAAUGUAGCAGAAGCACCCGUGUGCAUAUAAAUGAGCUGAAGGUUCAGGCCUAAAGCAAGUCCAUGAACCACCUACCCGUGUUACUAGGCCACGGGGCUAUUUCCAGCUCUCUGCAGCUCUCUCCCUUGCCCGAGGCAAUAGUGUGUGUGACCUCUGAGCUACCAGACAAAUGCCCAACUCUCUCUGGGCACAACAUGAAUAGGGGGACACAAUCUUGCAGAAGAGUCUGAUGUUGCCAACUUCAGGGCAGCAGGCAGAGUGAGAAUCAGAGCACUGGCUUGGGAAUCUCAAUGCAGCUAAACAAGGUUGUACCCAGCCUUUCCUGCAUGUGGGUGCAAUGGCUACAAGGCGAAUAAGAUAUGCAGUGUGAACUCUGGCAGCCUUGGAGGGAAACAGACAAUAACCCUGCAGAAAGACAGGGCGAAAGCCCUCACUUUGAAGUGGUCAAGAUGGCUUUCUUGCUGUGGGGAGCUAGGGCUGUCUGCCUCAGGACCAGAUGACAUCACACCUUCUGAAAGCUAGGGUUUCAAACGCUAAGUAAAAUGUUCCUUUUUAGUCCCCCCAGUGAGUGAAGACUGAAACGUGGUGAUGUCAUCUGACCCGUCUUUUUACAGAAAGCCUCCAGGUGAGCCUAACGAAGCUGGGUGAUUUAUUUAUAGCUCCUGCCAGUGAGGGAAAGUACACAGAGACCUCUCUGGGAAGUGCAGGGCUAAGGAGGAGUUAAGUGCAGAAAGACAGAUGGCCCCUCCCAACACCCACGAGACUGAGAGGCCACCAUCUCGGGAAGUUCUCAGGGAGAUGGUUUUAAAUUGAUACGGUGGUAACCCGUCCUUGUCAGCUCAUCCCUCAACCUCUGCAUGUGGAAAAUCUGUCAGGCCCAGUCUGCGGAGGUGACAGCUCUGAAUUGUGGCUGUCAACUAUAAACGAAUAAGCAAAAUGAAAGAGGCACGUGAUUUUGGAAAGAUGUUUCCCAACGGGAUCAAGUCUCAAGCAGAAAUAACCGAAUUAAACAUCUCUGCUCUGAUUCUAUCCAAAGACCACUAACAUCACAGAAUUUUCAUUGCUUCACGUGCAUCAUCCUUGAAUAAACUAUUCAUUAAAAAUAUUAAAGAUCAGGCUUUGGUUCAGCAACUUUAACUAUCUUUUUCUUGGGGCAUGGCACAUCCCAUUUUCCUACAUGCCUCCCUUUCUUGGGCUGUUCAAGCAGCCCAGUUCAAACACUGGGACCAGGCAUUAAAAGUAUGAGAAAUCAGAAAUAAUUAGACCAGAAAAAGUAAGCACGUGUACUGAAAGAGAUUAAGGCAGUUAAAUCCUAACCCAAAUCCAAGAGAUCUUGGGAGUAUUCUUUCAGACAACAGGAAACCUGGGCUUUCUUUUCGACUUCAAGUUUCUCCAGCAUCUUUGCCAUCUGUAAAUUGCUGGCUGUUCCAACCCCUCCUCCAUCUGUGUCUCGGGCACAUUCAGAAUGGUUCCAAUUAAUUACAGAUGAGUGCUUGAAACCCUCCUGGUGCUGAGCCACAGAACCAUGGUACGCUGGGUCACGCAGUUGUGCUAUUUCAGUGUGACAGACCCUCCCCUUCUCCGGGCUCCCGCGAGCACUUUCAAAGAGGAGCCUAAGGCCACAACAAUAACCAAGCAACUGUGAGGCUUGAAUACUACCAGACAGAGCUUACCUCUUGA